rnacentral:tRNA from 1 species
GCAUUAGUGGUUCAGUGGUGGAAUUCUUGCCUUCCAUGCAGAAGACCCAGGUUCGAUUCCUGGCCAGAGGA